UACGAAGGGGGCUAGCGUUGCUCGGAAUCACUGGGCGUAAAGGGUGCGUAGGCGGGUCUUUAAGUCAGGGGUGAAAUCCUGGAGCUCAACUCCAGAACUGCCUUUGAUACUGAGGAUCUUGAGUUCGGGAGAGGUGAGUGGAACUGCGAGUGUAGAGGUGAAAUUCGUAGAUAUUCGCAAGAACACCAGUGGCGAAGGCGGCUCACUGGCCCGAUACUGACGCUGAGGUGCGAAAGCGUGGGGAGCAAAGCAGG
rnacentral:rRNA from 1 species